CCGGAAGUGAACAUGGGUGGAAGGUUUUGGAAAAAAGAUAAGAGAUGAACGGAGGAAAACGAACAACGUUGAAAUGAAAAACCGAACUCACCUUGCCGUUGAGAAAGAACCACAGACAAAGAUGAUGAUCAUCGAAGGAAUGGAGUUAUUUGAAAAAUCGUCGGUAGAGAACGAGGGGGGGGAGGUUGGGGGAAGGAGUGAUAAGAGAAAUGAGAGGGAAGAUAAUUUUCGUGGUGAGAUUUCAAAAAUGGGUUGAUUUGAUGGAACAAUGUUAUAGACAAGUACAAGGCGGGAGAGAAAAAACUGUCAUAAAUCGUUCGCGAUUAGAAGGUUAUAUACUCUAACAAAAGACAUCCGGGAUUGGAGGAAGCCAUCAAGGAUUCUUCACACAAAUUAAGAUUCAUUAAAUGUUUAUAUCAUAUUGAAAAAUUACAAACUCGAAUUCUGAAUCUUCAAAAAUUUUAAUGGUUACUGUCAUCAUCAACCUGUGGAUGGCUUUCGACGAUUUCGAACAUCAACCUCAGUUUCGCAGGUCAUCUGAAAUUCUCAUUUUUUUUUUAAAGAUCAUUCAUUUACCAAUUACCAAUUUAAACAAUAUCUAUUGCAUUGAAUAAUAAUUACAGAAUUAAAAAACAAAUAUAUAAUCAUUGUUUCUUCUUCUUCCGACAAUAUUGUUUCUUCAGUUAAUGAACAUUUUUUCUUGUUAUUAAAUUGCUAAAAAUUUAAAUAUCCAAAUGUUAAAACUGAAUCUAAAAAAAAAACUAAUUUCUUCGCAAAUACUUUCAGUUUUUCAGUAAGGUUGAUGUCGAUUGCUAAACUUUGAAGAUCUCAUUGCAAGUCUAUUUGAAAUCCACGAUCCUCGCUUUUCUUCCAAAGCGUCAUCAAC
rnacentral:lncRNA from 1 species